rnacentral:rRNA from 1 species
CAGGAUGAACGCUAGCUACAGGCUUAACACAUGCAAGUCGAGGGGCAGCAUGAUCGAAGCUUGCUUUGAUUGAUGGCGACCGGCGCACGGGUGAGUAACGCGUAUCCAACCUUCCCUAUAGUAGAGAAUAGCCCGGCGAAAGUCGGAUUAAUGCUCUAUGUUGUAUUUAGAGGACAUCUGAAGAAUACCAAAGGUUUACCGCUAUAGGAUGGGGAUGCGUCUGAUUAGGUAGUAGGCGGGGUAACGGCCCACCUAGCCGACGAUCAGUAGGGGUUCUGAGAGGAAGGUCCCCCACAUUGGAACUGAGACACGGUCCAAACUCCUACGGGAGGCAGCAGUGAGGAAUAUUGGUCAAUGGACGGAAGUCUGAACCAGCCAAGUAGCGUGCAGGAUGACGGCCCUAUGGGUUGUAAACUGCUUUUAUAUAGGGAUAAAGUCGGGGACGUGUCCCCGUUUGUAGGUACUAUAUGAAUAAGGACCGGCUAAUUCCGUGCCAGCCGCCGC